rnacentral:rRNA from 1 species
UACGUAGGGUGCGAGCGUUGUCCGGAAUUAUUGGGCGUAAAAGGGCUCGUAGGCGGUUUUGUCGCGUCGGGAGUGAAAUCCACUGGCUUAACUGGUGGCUUGCUUUCGAUACGGGCAGACUGGAGGUAUGCAGGGGAGAACGGAAUUCCUGGUGUAGCGGUGGAAUGCGCAGAUAUCAGGAGGAACACCGGUGGCGAAGGCGGGUCUCUGGGCCGAUACUGACGCUGAGGAGCGAAAGCGUGGGGAGCGAACAGG